rnacentral:rRNA from 1 species
UACGUAGGAGGCAAGCGUUGUCCGGAAUCACUGGGCGUAAAGCGCGUGUAGGCGGAUCGCUAAGUCUGUGGUGAAAGCGCCUGGCUUAACCGGGCGAGGUCCAUGGAAACUAGCGGUCUGGAGGCCGGUAGAGGGGGGUGGAAUUCCGGAUGUAGUGGUGAAAUGCGUAGAGAUCCGGAGGAACACCAGUGGCGAAGGCGGCCCCCUGGGCCGCGCCUGACGCUGAGACGCGAAAGCGCGGGGAGCGAACGGG